UAGAUGGUCCUCAAUGACUGGCUGCCCCUGUCAUGAACUUCAUCAUAAAGGCCGAUUAUGUGCAUUUCUUCCCAACUUCACAGUCAGAGACCUGUGUCCAAUGUGGACACAACUUAAGCAAAGGGGCUAACAGUGUAAAUAUCAAUCUAGACAAUCAUGCCAGGAUCAGGCUUCUCAAACACCUUCACCAUGCCUCAAGAUGAGUUUCUGAAAGGCACUUCCUCUGCCAGAUUUCUUUGGAAUCCUUUGUGCCUAGAGAAACCAUUUCCAAUAUGGCCAGAGGUGAGUCCAUCCCCUACUGGAGAGAUUACUGUCAUUGUCGAUAACUACAGGGCCAUGACUGGCCCCAAACACAAAUCUAACUGUGAUGAUGUAAACGAAAGAUCCAUCAUUGGGCCACUAAGUCGCUAUGAUCAGCCUACCCAUCCCUUCCGCUGCUGUAUAAACAGGCUACUCAGGAUUCCAAAGUAACUGGGCUGAAAGACACUUCCUUGUGCUGCCUGCCUGGUGUUUCAACAUCAGGCCCAGUAUAGAUGUCUCUUGUGCUGUCUCUUCUUGCCUCUUUUCAGUAGAGCAAUCCUAUAUGGUAACAUGAAUUAAGAAGUGGAAGCAGCAGAGGUACCAGGACAUAGAGAUGACAAUAGCAGCAAGGACAAUGACAAUGGUGACAUGGAAACUGAAAAAUUGAUCAUCAAAUACAGCAAAAAGUGGCAAUCUCUGUGUUAUAUUCAUAGCAUCAGGUGACUUAAAGGUAGUCACCUUUACAACAGCUUAAAAAGCAAGAGGACCUCCCCAACCCUUGAACCUUCCUGGCACCAUCCACAAAGAGGAUCUGGCAGUCAGUGGGUUAAUAAAAGGCUCGGCUCUCUGCCAUUCUGAUGUCAUAUGUGCUGCUUGUCUGGUUACUAAGUAUCCCAUAAUUCUUGAGCACCAGUGGAGUGCCCAAGUUUUUACUUCAGCUGCUAAACACAUUCCUAGUAAUGGUUUCUAAGGUCACCUUGAAAAUAGCAACUGAGUGUAGUAGUUAAUUAAUCAGCCAGAUUCCCAACAAAUGAAGAAGCCGUUCAACAUCCCAAGAGGAACUGGGGCAUGAAAUAGACAACAAGAGGAAAAUGAAGAGCUAAUAAAAGGCUGAAAGGAUUCAUAGAAGAAAACACAAAGGCAUUGAUAGCCAUGGAGUUGUCAUGUCUUGAGUUGUCAUGGCUGAGAGCUGUUAACUUUGACUACUGCCAACGGCCAAGUUAUUAGAAUACCUGAGGCCUUCACAGGAACUGAGAUUCUUGAAGGGCAAAGGAGUCUGUGUUUCAGUCAUACAAGCAGAUUACAACACUGAAGGGCACCAUUUACUAUUGCUUUCUCUUACAUGCUUGAACACAGAGGAAACAAAAGCCACGAGUCAAGAUUUCUGCUUUGUUUUCUAUGUUUUCUACAGAAGUAGAACAAAAGUAUCAGUCAGCUAAUUAGCAGUAGCUAGAUUCAUUAUGGUUCCAUAAACAAUCAAGGUUCAAAUCUGAGAGUGAAUAGCCAAGUACAAAAUUAAAUUUGUUACUGUCAAAACCCAUAAAGAUCGGCAUGAUAAAUUUUACAGUCAAGCUUCUUCUUCAAGUCAAGUCAUUUUUAAUUGUCAUGUAUGGAUGCAUACAACUACAAAUAUCAGCACUGAAAGCCUGAGAGAAAUUAAGUAUCUUAUUAUUAAAGCAACUCUCCUCCGAACCAGGAGUUGUUUAAAUAAUUUCAUUUACUGACUCUACUGGCAAAAUGUUUUGACUAAAAUCAAAUUAUUUAAAUAUUAAUUUUUAAUUUAAUUUUAAUGUUAAAAACAAAUACAUUUCAGAAGGAAACAUGAGAACAAAAUAAUGUAAUGAAACUCCAUGAAAAUUUAUUAUCUUCUGUAUGCAGUAAGUCUUCCGGAGGGGAGGCCUAGUGCACUGUGCUAACUGUAAAGACUUUAAGUAUCUGGAAAAUAUGCUCUGAAGUGAUGAAGUAAAUACUUUUUAGAUAGUGAGUCCUUUGUGUCUUUACAGAAAUCCCCCAGACAAAGCUUGAGAUUAAAAGAGUAUUCAAGUUGCCCAUUCUACCCCAUGUGAAGGGCUAUCAGUCUAAGAGAUUGUUUGAAAUCGUUCACAUAGUGAUCACUGGAAUGUGACAUAAGUACUUUUAGCAGCAACUAAAGAAUCUGAAAACUUUCUGGGAAGUAGGCCUUCAGGUGCUUGGAAGCUGUGCACUUGUUUCUCCUCUAUCUCAUAGCCUUCCUUGUAAGUACACAUACUCAGUGGAGAGCAUCCCAUCUCACAAUGCCACAGGGAUUGUGUCAAUGUAUUUGGCUAUGCCUGUACCUUUCUACCAGUACUGAGGUACCCAGGAAGGCACCAGAAGAAUAGGAGUGCUGAAUAUUCUCUUUGCAUGCUCUUGAUAAUUAGUAGAAAAUCUCACUGUCAAAAGCUAAAUAUAGAAAUUAUGUAUAACACAGUACGUUAAGAAGGUAAAGUAUCUCAUUAGACUAAAUGUUGUUUUCAAAUUUAUCAAACAUUGGGUCAAACCCAAUGUGUACAUGUUUUCAUUCUAACAUUUAUAAUGUUUAGGUAGAUAGGUAUAUUGUAUGUAAUCCAACUGGUAUAGAACAUUUCACCAUUUACUAAAAGAUAUUGACUAAAGAAGAGUCCACUGUGGCUUUGCAGAGCACCAGACAAAGCUAAUGAAUGAUGGGAACUAGCUACAGUAGGUUUAAGUAAAAAAAAUAAAGAAAGAAAAUGUGUGGUGUGAUCACUAAAGUAGAAAUCGGGAAUCGAAAUACUUCUUUAAUUGGGCAGAGUAUUAAAAAUAAAAACCUUCAAGAGUUCCUGCUUACUCUCCCUCCUUCCUCCUCCUCCCCUAGUUUUGUAUAUGAUUGCACUCUCUUCUUUCUGUCUGUAGACAGGAGACUAAAUGGGGACAAAAUGAGCUGGCAAAUGGCCAGUAAUUAGGCUUGGACAGACCUCCUUCAACUCCAAGUCAGCAAAAGUGCCCCUCAGUGUCAGAGAAUGAAGGGUUACAACUAACUGCAAAAAUAAAAUAAGGUAAAAUAGUUCUACCACAUUGCAAAGCACAAAGCUGGGUAAACAAGGUGUCUGGAAGAAAAUGGCUACUAAUUAACAGUAAUUUCUAUACCAUUCCUUAAUAGGCUUGAACCUAGCCUUUUUCCAAGAAGAUGAAUUUCCUAAUAUUUGUGUACUUGUAGACAUCUAGAAAUUGGGUUUAAAGUUUUGGAAUAAAUCCUGUUUAAAAUUAUUAGGAAAAUUGAGUUUGAAGAUGGAAGGAUAUAGCAACUAUGUUCAGGAUGCUUUUCCAUCACAAAAACUCUAUAUAUUCUUUGGAUAUCUCUUUUCAAAGGUUCUGCAGCUUUGGCCUCAACAUACCUAUUCUUGUCAGCUACACUCAUGAUGAGGACAAACUUAGCAGUUCCCUUUUUACCACAUCUCAUCUGCAGUUUCCCUCAUUAAUUGGAUUGCUUAACUGUCACCUCUAAUGAUGAGAGAGUACCAUGCACAUCUAGCCCAUUCAUCCACGGUUUGGUUUCUUACAUUGAGUUUCAUGGACAGAAAGUGGGGCUUGUGUGCUUGUUAAAGUUUGUAAAAAUCAAUCACCAAAGUUUUUCAAGAGAUAGACAAAGGGAAAUAAUCAUAAAUACAGUAAUGAAGACUUAUAAAAUGUAUCUUGAAUAAAUAAAAACAAAAAAUCAAUAAAUAUGGGUUAAUGGAUAAAAGCAUUAUGUAUAUAGAGUUUACAGAAAUAUUACAUAUCUUCCCCCAAACUCUUUUCAACUAUAAAUUAGAAGAAAGUAAAGAAGGGAGAAAUAAAAAUAUAGAUCUGUCGACUCUGGAGAUUGGAAGUGAGCUGUUCCCCAGUGUUCAUGGGUUGGGAACUUUGUUAUCAGGGUGCUGGCACUAAGAGCUGUGGCCCAUUGAAGAUGAAAAGUUAACAGGCAACCUUGGGUCAAAUGACAGAACUGUGGGACUCAGCCACUACUUUGCUUCUGUUUUGGCAAUGUGAUCAUUUUCUUGGCAUUCGAGAUCCCAGCAUUCAGUAAGUGCUGAUGUGCAGUAGGAGGUUGGGUCAUAUGAGGAAGGGGAGAAAUUAGCAAUUUACCAAUUUAUUACCUUACCAAACUUUUUACCUUUUGGACCUCUGAAACUGAGUUAAAGAAUCAUUUCUUUAUGGAGUGAAACUGCCUCUAGUGUUUCAAUAUAGUCACAGGAAACAAAGUCGCACAUGCCACAAACGUGGAGGAGUCAACAUUUUCUAAGUUACUAAGAAUCCCUCCAAUAUUUGACAUUUUUAAAUGAACUACAAGAAGAAAUCAAGAUACAUUGAGUCUACUUUAUUCUUUUAGAACAAAGCUCAUAUACUUCUUUAUAUCUUGUGAUUAUGAUGUAAACACAAUAUCAAGUUAUAUAUCCAUUAAUACUUUGUGAUGUCUGCUUUUCUUGGCCCGAUAUUAAUGCACUGAUCAAAAGGAGAUGAUGUCUGAGUGGGCCUUAUGCUUUGAUGCACAUCAUUAUUCUAAGGGACAUGCUACUAAGUAUUAAUAUGCUUGUUCUUUACAUAGCCUGGGGGUAGGCCAUCUCAUUUUCUCCGUUAGAAAGUUGAAUAGAAGUGCUCGCUAUGAAACUUCUCAAGUAAUAAUACAGGAAUCUUGGCUCAGCAUAUUUGUUUUGAAACAAUUCAUAGAAGUUCCUCUUAUUACUAACAAACACCAGAGUGACUUUUCUUAAUGUUCUAUUUGCUGAGUGACGUAUAACUGGAUAAUCUCUUGAUUAUAAACAAAUAAUGGGAGCUGUUCCUUUAGAAAGUAUUUAUUAGUGUCUGGAGUGGAUAAGCACAGAAUCCAGGACCCUACAGUAAUCCUUCACCUCCUAUUCUGCCAUCCUCUUAAAUUGCCUUGAUUUCUUUGUUGGGUUUCUGGGGUUAUUUCUUCCUUCUUUGCCUCUGUCGAAUGACAGUAACUACGAUAUGUGAUAGAAGACAUCCUAUGUGAAUGAAGGGAAUUACUCCCGUAGAUUUUGAGAGUACUACCAACAAUGUUCAGCUGUAAAAGCUUUCUACUGAUGUCUGUGAGGGAGAGGCACUUUGCCCAAGGUCAAGCUCCUUCCCUGGGCAGCCCACAUCUGCAACUGCUCCAUAAAAGUCAGAAGCGGGUGAAAGCAAUGGUCUCCCUCUGGGAUGCAGUGGCUGGCAUCACAUGCAUCCCCUUGCUUCUCCUCGCCCAGCCUUGUUUCUUCCACUCCUUCCCUGUGGUCUCUAAGAUCACUCUGCAAACUCACCACUCUCCCCAACACCAAUUCUCUGGAAACUCUACAUCAAUUACCUCCCAAUAUCAAUUCCAGUUUGGUGAAAUGUAAUUUGUCAACGAGUCUCCUCUAAACACAGUGAACUAUGUAAGGCUAUGGUCAAUGUCAGGGGAAACAGGCAGCAGCAGUGCCUUUCCCUCUCCUCUUGACCAGUGAAGGAGGAGGGAGCAAUCAGGGUGAAAAGGUUUUGCUUGUUAUUUUAUCUAUGCUGUUUCUUUCCCUGAUUGCGUGUCGUGAAGUGGGAAUUUCUGGUUUUGUUGGAUAAUUAAAGUAGCUUUUGAAAAAUUUAAGCCUACAAUGUAACAUCAUUUCACCCCAGUAGAACACUGCACUAUCUUAGCCCUAAUCUUGGGUUUGUUUUCCAUGUAUCCAAAUCAUAUCAGGGGUUUAAAAGCAGUUCACACCAAAGUUUAGGCAUAAGAAUUGUUCUUACAGAAUAAAGAAAGUUCAACAGAGUCAACUAACCUGGACCUUUGGGGUUCCCGGAGUGAUCAUAGGCUGGAUCUCAGCCUCCCCUAUCCCACACACAUAUGUAGCAGGGUGCAGUUUGGUCUUCAUGUAGCUUCCCCAUCAACUGGAUUGGAAACUAUCCCUGAAUCCUUUGAAUCCUGUUCCCUAACUGCCUUGUCUUGCCUCAGUGACAGAGGAUUCGCCUACUCUGGCAGUGACUUCAUGUGCCAAAGAUGAGGUUAGGGUGGGAGGGUGGGGGUAGAGAAAUGAGAGUUGGGAUGGGGGUGAUACCCUGGGAAUCUCCCUUUUAUUAAAGAAGGAGGGGGAAUUGGGGGGCAGAACUGAGAAGGGGACUAAUAUUGGGAUGUAAAGUGAAUGAAUGAAUAAAUAAGAAUUCCUCCACAGCUUUUUCUCUUUUUGUUUUUGUUGUUUUUAUUUCUGGACAAAUGAUGAGUAACAGAACCAUACUCAUUAACUGUAUUCACUAGCAAACACUGUGCUCUUUCUAUUUUAAGGCAUAUUUUAAGUAUUUAUUUUAGAUAAAUGAUUCUAGUACUUGGAAAAUUUUUACUCAGAGAAAUAAUAUUAGGAUUGUGGUUUAGAUUAUAGCUUCCACAGAAAAUACUGCAACAUUAAGCUGAAACUAAAAGAACAUUAUCCAAAACAUAUUUUUAGUCUUUCAAAGAGUAAUCAAAAUAUUUUCAUGAGACUGUUUUGCUUUUAUUUCUGAAACUUUCAAGAGAACAUUAAUUAAAGUGGCCUUUAUAUAAUCAUUAAAUAAAACAAUGUUGUAGAAAUAUUUAGCAUAAGGAUAAAAAUAUCAUAGAAUACAAUUGUUAUUGUUGUUAUUAUUAAAACAAACACUAACUUUUUUUUCUCAUGAGCUUUACUAAUCCCCACUUAGUGACUCAGCCAUGGGUACAUGGGCUCAGCCCAUGUUUAUGUGGGACUUCAGUUAACACAGUAUCAUAAACAAUCUAAUUUAUGGACCAUAUGGUUUUAUGAGGGCUUCAAAUAUAUGCUAAAAUAGUCAUAUUUUGUUUAAAAUGCAUAAUUAAUUUUAUUGACAUAGAUAAUGGUUCACAUACCAUCAAUGUAUCAAACAAAAUUGUGUGAAGAUUCAGUUGCCUAAAUAUACUUCAAAUGAACCUGGCAGGUACUCAGCUUGGCAUAGGAGUAUCAUCACUCAAUCCUGCCUCCUUUGAAGACUUACGUGCCUGAGUUUAUCAAUACAGUGUAUGAAGCUUCACAUAUUUAGUCUGGAUUUCCUUUCCUAAGCUGUAAAUCUAGAUCCUGAUUAAUAUAAAAUCAUGGGAUCUUCUGACCAGGACACACUAUAUAGCCACUGAAAAGCACAACUGAGGGCCAUUUGUUCUGCUUACAACAACUUCUGAUAUAUAUUGUUUUAACACAAGUAUUCAUGAAUUCAGUGAGCAGGAGUCUAUUGUGUUUUGCGUGUACACACACACACACAUACACACACACACAUAUAUAUAUGCAAUAUAUAUAUAUAUUGUGUGUAUACACAGGUUUUUAUUCAAAUUGUUAUACAUCUUCUUAUGACAAAGAAUAUGUUUGGAGUCCAGUAUAAAGUUUUAUCUUGGUACCUACUAUAAUAAAAAAAAUAACAUAAGCAGCCUGUCUUAAUGUCCACUAUAACAACUCAUAAGUAAGCACUGAAGGACAAUAUUUUGUUUAUUUCUUUGCAUUUGUUUAUUUGUAGCGAAAAUCAAACAAGGAGAAAAGAUCUUGGGAAUGUAUACACUCAGUCCAUAUUAUUAUAUUUUCUUAACAUGCCACACCUCAAAAGCAAAGCUAAUUUAUUUUUAAACAAUAAGUUAGUUUUGUGCACUUAUUUUAUUUCAUUGAAAUAAUUAUAUCUCUAACAAAUCUUUAUUAACCUAGUUAAAUUUUAAUUUCCAAUAGAUGUUAAGUACAAAAAUGCAUAAAUUUUAAGGUGUCCAAAUGUUUUCUAUUUAACAAGUAUUUUACUUUUAUUGCUGCAAAAAUUAUGAUAGGAAAUUGUGUUACAGUAUAUUAUUUUAUUAAUUUGAAUCAUCUUAAGACAAAAGGUUAGCACCUAUGAAAACAACUUGAGUCUAAAUAUUAGACAUUGUUACAUCCGAGGAUUCUCAAGAGCUGGGACAUGUGGCUCUGGGCUCUCAAACCGGUGUGAUUAAUUUGAGUUUUGAAAGCCAUCAUAUGUUGCUGUCUGCUGUUUCUUCUCAGGAAAAACAUGCACAAAUUAGAGAAGCCUGACAGAGAUAUAUCAAAGGAAAACUUUAAGAUAUUUAAGGACAAACUCAUUUCAGAGUUUAAGGGUCUCCAUUUUACUAGACUAUUUUUCUUGCUAAGUUGAUGACACAUCUUCUUUGAACUUGAAAACAUAAAUGAAGAAAAAGAGCUCUUCUCAUAUUCUUAAUAAUCAGGUUGAAUUAAUAUCCAGAUCCUUGACCAUGGAAAGCCAUAUUCAACAGACUUUGCAUCUGGAAAGGUGAUUUACCAUUCCUCUUCCCUGUUAGAGAUGAAUAUAGGAGGGCAGACACAAAUCGUAUCUCAUUCUUAGAAGAGGGACUAGCACAUAUAAAAAACCAAAUUAAUGGUUGAAUGGGCUAUUACCAGGCUAACAAGGCACCACUUUUUCUUUUCUUUGUUCUACCCUGGUUGAAAUAACCCAACCAGGAAUCCUGAUAUCUGGAAUCUAAUUAUUGUUUGAAUAAUUCUUUCACUAACAUCAGCUGAAAAGGAAGAUUUUUUAAAAAAUUAUAUGGUUUUUGUAGGCUUUGAAAAUGUUCCCAGUUUUAAGAUCAGAAUGAGAUGAAAUCACUUCAUGUCUAAAUAAACAAAAAAGCAACAAAAAUAAAGAUGACGCCAUAUUUUAUUUUGCACAUUUGUGUUGGUUAAUAAACACAAUCUCACAAUCGCAGAUCCUGUGGAUGGUGUGUAGACAGUUUGUAACCUAUGUGCUUGCUGCAUAAGCAUGAGGAUGUGACUUUGAUCCCCAGAACUAUAUAAAAAGCAUGGCAUAUUGGUACAUGCUGGGGAGGUGUCUCACCCCUCAAACAGAAUAGCCUAAUCAGCCAGUUCCAAGCCAAGGAGAAUCUGUUUCAAAACUAAGGUAGAUGCUACCCAAGGAACCAUAUCUACAGUCUAAGGUUGUCCACUAGCCUCCUUGCAUAUGAGAUGUGCAUAUAUGCAUUUUCACCUUACACACACACACAAUCUCCAAGAUAAAUGGCUAGUUUUUCCAGUCCUUCCUCAUUUACUCUGUUAAACGUUCCUGUUCAUCUUUCCCAAGACACAAAAAAUUCUUACUGAAUCCUGCAGUCACUUCCUACGUUCUCUCCUUCAUCUGUCCAGUUUCCUUAGGGAAUCAUAUACAGUGCAAUAGAUAUAACCAAUAUGGCGCCAACUCAUUCUCACCCUAAGGCACCCUUUUAUUACAGACACAGGGGAAAAAAAGCUAUGUAGCUGGAGAAGAGAAAAAAAAAAAAAAAACAAUAGAACUUAGUGUCACGCAGCUCCUUCCCCUAAGACAGUAAGCCAGGAGUUCCUUCUCUUUUGUAUGUUCCAACAAGAUUAGUUACUCUCUAAGUGGGAAGUUUUGAUUAAAAAAAUCUCUUUUUAGUUUUACCAGUCUACCUACAGAGACCCAAGUAACAGAAAAGGAAAUUGUGUUAUGGAACUAGUGAGCCUGGGUGGCUGAUGUGGGCAGUGCAGAUGGGGGCCAGACAUGCCUAGCUGCACAGCUGUGCUUUAAGCUAAGUGGCCUUUCUAGAAGGCUUCCCUAGAUCGGAGAUGCCCUUUGUCACACUUAUAUUAACUACUUAAAUUUUGUUCUGUGUCAUAAUCAUGGGGAAAUCUCUUUCUCUGCCACUCUCUCUCUCCCCCGCCCUCAAACAGAAUAGCCUAAUCAGCCAGUUCCAAGCCAAGGAGAAUCUGUUUCAAAACUAAGGUAGAUGCUACCCAAGGAACCAUAUCUACAGUCUAAGGUUGUCCACUAGCCUCCUCCCUCCCUAUCUCCCUCCCCUCCUCCCUUCAAACUUCCUAUGGUUCACUCCACACACAAGUAGACACAGUUAAGAGAAUCUUUUUAUCAUCUAAUAUGCACAGUUAUGUGUGAUCACCAUCCAAAACAAGGGUAUGCUUAAUCUACCUGAGUAUCUAAAAGGACAUUUUGUACUCUGAAUUUUUAUUCUUUCAAAUACCAGCUAGAUCAGGCAUGCCACUGUUUACUGAUGAUGACACUCCAGAGAUUCCUGUUUGCAGGUAGCGUUAGGUACUAUUAUUCUGGAAGCUUUUAGGAGAUUGCCUUCCAGUUUCUAGGGUUGUGGUCUUGUAAUUUGUAACUUGCAAUAGAUUCAUCUCAAUUAAUAUUCAGUGUACUUUUAUUUGUUUUCUAUAUCGUGAAACUUAUCAAAAUGAUGUAAAAUGAUAAUAAAAUUAAGCACCUAUUUAAAGCAGUAAAAACAACCAAAAGCUGGCUGGCUGACAUAAAGGACUGAUUGCACAUAUUGUUAAAUAGUUACAACCCACGACAUGCAAAUUGGCCUAGAGCAGGAAUCUGUAUGCCCACUAAAGCAGGUCGCUACCUGUUCUUAUACAUAAAGCUGUACUGGUAAUGGCUCAACUCUGCUAAUGUUUUAUUCAUUAUCUGCCCCAAUGCCUACGCUGAUGCCUAAGCCUAAGCCUAAGCCUAAGCCUAACCCUAACCCUAACCCUAACCCUAACCCUAACCCUAACCCUGACCCUGACCCUAACCUGGAAAGGAUAGCAGGGCUAAGAAUGACAACUGUAUGGCGUCAAAGGCUAAUCUACGUAGUAUCAGAUUCUACAGAAUGUCUGUCUAGUUCUUGUUUAAAUUAAGGCUUUCAACUUGGAGGGUUAGGUUUAAGAUAAGGAUUAGGCUGAAAAGAAGACAAAAUCCAAUUAUCCCAUCAUUGUAAAACAAAGGCUAGGUUCCAGGGUGAUGAUGAAUUAUCCUAUUGUGGGUGAAGUUCUGUUCCAUUCAGUGGUCUCUCACAGGUUCUGAAACUCUCACAACAGCUCAUUGAGGAGAGAUCUAGUUACAUCUUGUUUCUGUGCCUCUGUAGACUCCAGCAAUUGAUUCUUUGUGAGUCCACUAAAUGUGAAUGUAACCUUUUCCUAUUUAAAAUAUGACAGUCCCAAAAUUUAGGACUUCUUUCCUAUUUGUAACAAGUCUUGAGUCUCAUAAAGCUGUUCAUAAUGCUGACCUAUGUUCCUUAGACGUAUUUGUAUCUAACUAGAGGAGUUUUUACUUGUUUUUCUUAGAGAUGGUAUUGGUGAUGGGUCAUUUUCUGCCUGAGCUCCCUAUGGUGUAUGAAAACCUAUCAAAUUAAAAGUGUAAAAAAAACUUUCUUUUCUUCAAACAGUUAAUUAUUUACUGGCAGAUAUUCUAAAUGUUUCCACCAUUUGAGUACCCCUCACAUUGUUGGACAUCAGAUAAAAAUGGCUAAGGAUGGCUGCCACCACAUCGUUACAGGGUUGUUUAGACUGCUCACAUUUGCUUCAAAGACUGCAUUCAAGAACCUCUCCUAGGCCUUAUGGGAGCUACUAAAAUGAUUGCUGUUCUGAUACUAAAAUUUAAAGCAUCAAUUAUAGCUUUACAUAUUCUGAAAUUAUGGCCAGAAAUAUAUGCUUCAGGUGUUAGCACCAGUUACUCAUUUAAACAUGAUUCACCAAGUGUAUUUUAUUAAUAAGAGCCUAGGGAAAUAAAUGGCUAUUUAUAAUAUGCACAGGGUAGAUAGAUAUAUUUAACAUAAGAAUAAAAGCCUCAUAAGCAGUAUAUUUUUAAAAUUCAAGGAAAAAUUCCAAACCUACAUUUUUAUUAAAUCUACAUUAAACAUAAAGGUGGUUUCCAAAAUGAAAGGUUAUGUGAUGAGAGUAAGAUGUCAAGAAUUCAGAAAGAUUAAUAAAACCGAGCACAUGCUCAUUAAUCAUGUGUCCUCAAAUGGCACACAAGAUUCGAUUUGAGUUUUUCUCUCUAUACCAGUGAUGGAAUCUGCUUAUUUUGUGGAGCAGCCAAAAUGUCAACUUGAUAAAUGAGGUAAUUCCUGCAAACAUACCUGCUCUGUUGUUUCUUAUAUAGGUUGAUGAAUGUAUAGAGGGGAAAAAAGAUGAAUAAUUUGCUAAAAAUAUAAAUGAAGCUUUGAUCACUUGGACCAAAAGCUUUGAUUUGUACAACGAUUUGAUGAAGUAACAGCUUGUAACAGAAUCCAUGUCUGUGAAAAUAUCACUAUAUCACAUGACUUAGUUUGUAAGAAGAGUGUCCUGGUCAACUGACACUAUUGUCUGUUAUUCGCCCCAAUGUGAAGAUGUUGAGCAAUGGGUAGCAAUGUAUAUUUUAAGUCUACUGCAAAACUGCUUGACAUAAAAUUAAGUACAUAUUUCACUUAUGGUACUUUUUCUAGUGUCGUUCUUAAAAAAUAUAGCAAUUUGUGUCCCAAUAUAUUUUAAUACCAAUAAAGCAAAUAAAAUGAUUCUCAUGUCUCUUAAACACCCCAGAUAUGAAAAAAUACUCUAGAUAAUUUGGGGUAGGUAUUUUUUGUUAAUUCACCACACUUUGAAAUAAAAUAACUGAAAAUAAAGCCAUUAUAAAAAUUAAGGAUGGGGAGAAAUCCCUACCAUUUUCAAUAAAGUCCCAUGAGAGUGGAAUCUUUAUACCCAUGCACUAAUAUCCUCACAAGGAACCCUAGAGAGGAGUAACUUUUAUGACUUUUUCUUCAAAGUGUUUUAUUUUAAACAAAAUCCAACAUUUCAUUCUUAUUUUAUUCACUUACAUCUUGCUAUGCACUAGCAUCAAUAUGGACUAAAUUAAUAUCGUGAAAAAUAACUACCCAUUCAAAAGCAAUUCACAGAUUCAUUGCAAUCCCUACCAAAACUACCACAACAUUUUUGACAGAAAUAAAGUAUCCUAAAAUUUAUAUGGAACUACAAAUGAUCAUAUAUAACCAGAGCAACCAUUAGCAGCACCGAUAAUUCUGGAGAGAUUAAAAUUCCACAUUUCAAGAUAUACUGUAGAGUUUUAGUAAGAAAAAGAGGAUGACACUAGAAUAAAGACAGCAUAGACCAGUGGAACAAAAUAGAUCUAAUCAUGAAUGCAGGUAACAAUAGCUAUUUACUAUUUGACAAAGAUGCAAAAAUGCAUGCUCAAGGAAAAAUCAAUAUUUUCUUUUAAAGGUGCUGGGGAAGACUGGAUGUCCCCAUGUAGAUGACUUAAAUUAGACCCAUAUUCAGUGCCAUGCACAGAAAUUAGCUCCAAUUGAUUAGAUUUCAAGAUGAAUUGGGAAAUGCUGGAAUUGCUGCAAGAAAAACAUAUGCUAUGCCCUACUGGUAUAGGCGUAUGGAAGGACUUUUGCCCAGUGGUUAAGGCCAACCAUUGACAAUUGUGACAGCAUAAUGCUCAAAAGCUUCUGUAAAACAAGUGAAAGUUUAAUGAAGAAAAUGUCCAUACUCUAGGAGAGAAUCUUUACCAGUUACAUAUCUGACAGAAGAUUAAUACCCAGAUUACAUUAAAAAGUAAAAAAAAAAAAAAAAAA